AUUGAACGCUGGCGGCAUGCCUUACACAUGCAAGUCGAACGGCAGCACGGGUGCUUGCACCUGGUGGCGAGUGGCGAACGGGUGAGUAAUAUAUCGGAACGUACCUUAUUGUGGGGGAUAACGCAGCGAAAGCUGUGCUAAUACCGCAUAAUCCCUAAGGGGGAAAGCGGGGGACCGUAAGGCCUCGCGCAAUUAGAGCGGCCGAUACCUGAUUAGCUAGUUGGUGAGGUAAAGGCUCACCAAGGCAACGAUCAGUAGCUGGUCUGAGAGGACGAUCAGCCACACUGGGACUGAGACACGGCCCAGACACCUACGGGAGGCAGCAGUGGGGAAUUUUGGACAAUGGGGGCAACCCUGAUCCAGCAAUGCCGCGUGAGUGAAGAAGGCCUUCGGGUUGUAAAGCUCUUUUGUCAGGGAAGAAACAGCAGCUCUAACACAGUUUGCGAAUGACGGUACCUGAAGAAUAAGCACCGGCUAACUACGUACCAGCCGCCGCAGUAA
rnacentral:rRNA from 1 species